rnacentral:lncRNA from 1 species
GCACCCUGGCAAAUGAUCAUUUUCACAAGGAUUAAAACUGUAAGCUAAAGAGACGACACAAAUGACAAUUGGGAAUACUUUUGAGCGGGGACAGAGGCUAAAUACUAGCCCCUCCCCUUUUCUACUUCUAACCAAUAUCUUGAGCAUUCAGUGGGACAAUACAGUCUUGCUGGGUCUCUUGAAAUCCUCCAGCAAGAAGCCAGCCAGGAGAAGACCCAGGCGUCCCACACCUGUGGGGCCAGGAUGGCUGCCUGGUGCUGAACCCAGACACGGUCCUCCCAGAGCAUCUGCCCCUGUCAGGCUCUGUCUGGAGACUGGGGAUCUUCCAGGCUGGCUUCAUUCUGGACCAGAGAGCAGAGGAGAAGGAGAAAGAAUAUAAACCCACCCCUGUGAGCCAGGGAACCACCCAAGCUGUAAGGAUUUUGUGCAAGCUGCUGGAAUUGGGUUGGAAAAGCGACCCGGCAAGCAGCUGAAAGGAAGGGUGUGCACGCCUGCUUCCUAAGGGGUGAUCCUUCGGGUGGGCUGAUAAUGCCUCCUCCCCUGAGGAGGGAGUCCUGCGAAAGCACGCACCUCAACACGAGUAAAGGCCCUAUGGUGUCCCCAAAGCGACCCCUGUCGCGUUCACUCUGCGGGUAGCCUCCCUGCAUUACUGAUUACUCCGAGCGGCUGAGCUGACGUCAGCAUUCUGGGAGCGCCAAUGACCUUUGGGGUCAUCACAUCCUCAGAAACUAGAGCAGGAGGGGAAGCGACCCCCAAGCCAGCGCUCCCCCUACUUUCCACCCAGGAGCCGAGGUUGCGCCAUCCUGGGGCGCAUCUGGGGACAGGGACCCACCAGCCCCCUCCCCUAACCCCUCUAGGGCCCUCGGCAGCAGGCGGUACCGGAUGCCCACCAGGGGCUCUAAAGGACCUGGGCAGCACGGGGAACCCUCGCCCAGAUCUUCCAGCCCUCUCCUUCUCCUUCUCCCAAUUCUUUCCGCAGUCUCAGAAGCCCCACGUUUCCCGCGGCGGGGGGACACGCACUUACCGCGGAUCCACUAUGCAAACCUUAAUGAACCUGAAAAAAGCCGGGCGGAGUGCGGUGGGGUGGGAUGGGGUGGGGUGCGGGGUGGGGUGGGGGUGGGGGUGGGGAUGGGGAGACCCUGCUCGCACCCAGCGCCGCGCACAGCUCUCUGGGCGGGUUCGAGUGCGCGCGGGGCGGGAGCAGGACCUGCGGCUGCGGUGUUUAGCGAAGCACGUGCUGCUCCGCGCGCAGCCCCCCGAGGCCGUGGGCUUCCUGGCUGCCCGGUCUGCGGCGGGGCGGCGGCGGGGGCGUGUUUCAAGGGGUCGAGCACACACUGAGACGCCGGGAGGCGGGAUGGGUCCGAAACCAGCUCGGAGCGAGUCUCGAGCGGCAGCGGCC